AAACAUUCAGGGGUCUGUUGUCUAUGUGAGCAGUCCUCCCUAUAGCUUCAGGGAUAUAGUAUCCAUUGUUUUUGGGUGAACCUGUGUACCCUUUCUGUGACUGAAGGUUCAGUAAAUGAUGGAAGAUGA
rfam:Cajanus cajan Scaffold136490_42, whole genome shotgun sequence.